GGUUCCAGUCCCGAAUUUUGGGAAUUUUGGGGAAUUUUGGGGAAUUUUUGGGACUUUUGGGAGGGUUUGGUGUGGAAAUGCGGGAAUUUUGGGAUUUUGGGGGGGAUUUUGGGGAAAUUUUGGGGGAAUUUUGGGAUUUUUUUGGAUAAAAAUUGGGAAUUUUGGGGGUUCCAGUCUCAAAUUUUGGGAAUUUUGGGGAAUUUUGGGAAAUUUUGGGGAUUUUUUUUUUAAUUUUGGGAAUUUUGGGAAUUUUAGGAGGGUUUGGGGUGGAAAUUUGGGAAUUUUGGGAUUUUUUGGGGGAAUUUUGGGAUUUUUUGGAUAAAAAUUGGGAAUUUGGGGUAGUUCCAGUCCCGAAUUUUGGGAAUUUUGGGGAAUUUUGGGGAAUUUUGGGAAUUUUUGGGACUUUUGGGAGGGUUUGGGGUGGAAAUUUGGGAAUUUUGGGAUUUUUUGGGAGGGAUUUUGGGGAAAUUUUGGGAUUUUUUGGGGGAAUUUUGGGAUUUUCUGGAUAAAAGUUGGGGAUUUUGGGGGGUUCCAGUCCCGAAUUUGGGGGAUUUUGGGGAAUUUUGGGGAAUUUGGGGGAAUUUUGGGAAUUUUGGGGAAUUUUGGGAGGGUUUGGGGUGGAAAUUGGGGAAUUUUGGGAUUUUUUGGGUUGAAUUUUGGGGGAAUUUUGGGAUUUUCUGGAUAAAAAUUGGGAAUUUUGGGGGGUCCCAGUCCCGAAUUUUGGGAAUUUGGGGGAAUUUUUGGGGAAUUUUUUGGGAAUUUUUUGGGGAUUUUUGGGGAAUUUUUUGGGAAUUUUUUGGGAAUUUUUUUGGAAUUUUGGGGGGAUUUUUUGGGGAUUUUUUGGGAAUUUUUUUGGAAUUUUUUGGGAAUUUUUUGGGAAUUUUUUGGGAAUUUUUGGGGAAUUUUUUGGGAAUUUUUUGGGAAUUUUGGGGGAAUUUUUUGGGAAUUUUUGGGGGAUUUUUUGGGAAUUUUUUGGGAAUUUUGGGGGAAUUUUGGGGAAAAUUUUUGGGGAAUUUUGGGGGAAUUUUUUUUGGAAUUUUGGGAAAUUUUUUGGGAAUUUUUUGGGGAUUUUUUGGGGAAUUUUUGGGGAAAAUUUUUGGGGAAUUUUUUGGAAUUUUUUGGGAAAUUUUUGGGAAUUUUUUGGAAUUUUGGGGGAAUUUUGGGGAAAAUUUUUGGGGAAUUUUGGGGGAAUUUUGGGGGGAUUUUUUGGGAAUUUUUUGGGAAUUUUGGGGGAAUUUUGGGGAAAAUUUUUGGGGAAUUUUUGAGGAAUUUUUUGGGAAUUUUUUGGGAAUUUUUUGGGAAUUUUUUGGGAAUUUUUGGGAAUUUCUCCCCCCUCCAGGGCAGCCCCGGCCCCCAAGGCCCGAACGGAUUCCCCGGCCCCAAAGGGCCCCCCGGACCCCCCGGAAAAGACGGAAUUCCAGGACACCCCGGGCAGAGAGGAGACGCCGUGAGUGACCCAAAAAUCCCAAAUUUCACCCAAAAUCCAGCCAAAAAAUUCCCAAAAAAUCUUCUUGGAAAAUCCCCAAAAUCCCUGAGUCCAAAAUAUCCCAAAAAUCCCAAAUUUUCACCCAAAAUCCAGCCCUAAAAUUCCCCAAAAUUCUUCUUGGAAUUCCCAAAUUUCCCCCCAAAAUUCCCAAUUUUCCCCCCAAAAUCCCCCCAAAAAAUCCCAAAAUCCCCCCCAAAAUUCCCAAAUUUCCCCUCAAAUCCCCCCAAAAAAUCCCAAAAUCCCCCCAAAAUUCCCAAAUUCCUCCUAAAAUUCCCAAAUUUCCCCCUAAAAUCCCCCAAAAUUCCCAAAUUUUCCCUCAAAUCCUCCCAAAAAAUCCCAAAAUCCCCCCAAAAUUCCCAAAUCCCCCCAAAAUACCCAAAAUCCCCACAAAAUUCAGUGAUUUCCCCUCAAAUCCCAAAAUCUUCCCAAAAUUCUCAAAUUUCCCCCUCAAAUCCCCCAAAAUUCCCAAAUUUCCCCUCAAAUCCCCCCAAAAAAUCCCAAAAUCCCCCCAAAAUUCCCAAAUUCCUCCUAAAAUUCCCAAAUUUCCCCCUAAAAUCCCCCAAAAUUCCCAAGUUUUCCCUCAANNNNNNNNNNNNNNNNNNNNAUUUUGGGGGAAUUUUGGGGAAAAUUUUUGGGGAAUUUUGGGGGAAUUUUGGGGGGAUUUUUUGGGAAUUUUUUGGGAAAUUUUUGGGGAAUUUUGGGGGAAUUUUGGGGAAAAUUUUUGGGGAAUUUUUGGGGAAUUUUUUGGGAAUUUUUUGGGAAUUUUUUGGGAAUUUUUUGGGAAUUUUUUGGGAAAUUUUUUGGGAAUUUUUGGGAAUUUCUCCCCCUCCAGGGCAGCCCCGGCCCCCAAGGCCCGAACGGAUUCCCCGGCCCCAAAGGGCCCCCCGUGAGUACCAAAAAAACCCCAAAUUUUGGGGCAAAAAACCCAAAUUUUGGGAAAAGAAA
rnacentral:lncRNA from 1 species